UGGGGAAUCUUCCGCAAUGGACGAAAGUCUGACGGAGCAACGCCGCGUGAGUGAAGAAGGUUUUCGGAUCGUAAAACUCUGUCUUUUGGGGCGAACGUGAGUAUGGUGAACAAUCAUAGUCAGUGACGGUACCAAAGGAGGAAGCCACGGCUAACUACGUGCCAGCAGCCGCGGUAAUCGUAGGUGGCAAGCGUUGUCCGGAAUUAUUGGGCGUAAAGAGCGCGUAGGCGGGAUAGUCAGUCUGUUGUAAAGUGCGGGGCUCAACCCCGUGAUCGCAAUGGAAACAGCUAUUCUUGAGUGCAGGAGAGGAAAGUGGAAUUCCCAGUGUAGCGGUGAAAUGCGUAGAUAUUGGGAGGAACACCAGUGGCGAAGGCGACUUUCUGGACUGUGUCUGACGCUGAGGCGCGAAAGCCAGGGGAGCGAACGGGAUUAGAUACCCCGGUAGUCCUGGCCGUAAACGAUGGGUACUAGGUGUGGGAGGUAUCGACCCCUUCCGUGCCGGAGUUAACGCAAUAAGUACCCCGCCUGGGGAGUACGGUCGCAAGACUGAAACUCAAAGGAAUUGACGGGGUCAUAGCUG
rnacentral:rRNA from 1 species